rnacentral:snoRNA from 10 species
AGCAAAAUGAGGAGGUUAUAUGAUCUGAAGUAUCUAAUGUUGAUAAUUCAAGGUCUUCAAAGUUCUCUGAUUGCU